GCUAGUAAUGGCAGGUCAGCAUACUGCCGUGAAUACGUUCCCGGGCCUUGUACACACCGCCCGUCACACCAUGAGAGUUGGGAGCGCCCGAAGCCGGUGAGGUAACCGAGAGGAGCCAGCCGUCGAAGGUGAGACCAAUGACUGGGGUGAAGUCGUAACAAGGUAGC
rnacentral:rRNA from 1 species